rnacentral:rRNA from 1 species
GACAGAGGUGCCGAGCGUUAGGCGGAAUCACUGGGCUUAAAGCGUGUGUAGGCGGGCGGGCAAGUACCUUGUGAAAUCCCACGGCUCAACCGUGGAACUGCUGGGUAUACUGCCUGUCUUGAGCCAGCCAGGGGCAGUCGGAACAGACGGUGGAGCGGUGAAAUGCGUAGAUAUCGUCUGGAACGCCAAAGGUGAAAACAGACUGCUGGGGCUGUGCUGGACGCUGAGACACGAAAGCCAGGGGAGCGAACGGGG